AUUGAACGCUGGCGGCAGGCCUAACACAUGCAAGUCGAACGAGUGGCGGACGGGUGAGUAAUGUCUGGGAAACUGCCCGAUGGAGGGGGAUACCUACUGGAAACGGUAGCUAAUACCGCAUACCAUCGGAUGUGCCCAGAUGGGCUUAGCUAGUAGGUGGGGUAAAGGCUCACCUAGGCGACGAGCCCUAGCGGGUCUCAGCGGAUGACCAGCCACACUGGAACUGCGACACGGUCCAGACUCCUACGGGAGGCAGCAGUGGGGAAUCUUGCCCAAUGGGCGCAAGCCUGAUGCAGCCAUGCCGCGUGUAUGACGAAGGCCUUCGGGUUGUAAAGUACUUUCAGCGGGGAGGCGUUACCCGCAGAAGAAGCACCGGCUAACUCCGUGCCAGCAGCCGCGGUAAUAC
rnacentral:rRNA from 1 species